UACGUAGUUAGCCGGUGCUUUUUCUGCAGGUACCGUCACUUUCGCUUCUUCCCUACUAAAAGAGGUUUACAACCCGAAGGCCGUCGUCCCUCACGCGGCGUUGCUGCAUCAGGCUUGCGCCCAUUGUGCAAUAUUCCCCACUGCUGCCUCCCGUAGGAGUCUGGGCCGUGUCUCAGUCCCAGUGUGGCCGGUCACCCUCUCAGGCCGGCUACCCGUCGUCGCCUUGGUGAGCCGUUACCUCACCAACAAGCUGAUAGGCCGCGAGCUCAUCCCGAACCGAAGUUCUUUCCACGCGGAGAGGAUGCCCUCCCGCGUCGUAUCCGGUAUUAGACGUCGUUUCCAACGCUUAUCCCAGAGUUCGGGGCAGAUUGCUCACGUGUUACUCACCCGUUCGCCACUGAUCCGGAGGGAGCAAGCUCCCUCGUUCACCGUUCGACUUGCAUGUGUUAAGCACGCCGCCAGCGUUCGUCCUCGUAGCCACGGAGUCAAACGUCC
rnacentral:rRNA from 1 species